GGGCGUAAAGGGCUUCGCAGGCGGUUUCUUAAGUCUGAUGUGAAAGCCCCCGGCUCAACCGGGGAGGGUCAUUGGAAACUGGGGAACUUGAGUGCAGAAGAGGAGAGUGGAAUUCCACGUGUAGCGGUGAAAUGCGUAGAGAUGUGGAGGAACACCAGUGGCGAAGGCGACUCUCUGGUCUGUAACUGACGCUGAGGAGCGAAAGCGUGGGGAGCGAACAGGAUUAGAUACCCUGGUAGUCCACGCCGUAAACGAUGAGUGCUAAGUGUUAGGGGGUUUCCGCCCCUUAGUGCUGCAGCUAACGCAUUAAGCACUCCGCCUGGGGAGUACGGUCGCAAGACUGAAACUCAAAGGAAUUGACGGGGGCCCGCACAAGCGGUGGAGCAUGUGGUUUAAUUCGAAGCAACGCGAAGAACCUUACCAGGUCUUGACAUCCUCUGACAAUCCUAGAGAUAGGACGUCCCCUUCGGGGGCAGAGUGACAGGUGGUGCAUGGUUGUCGUCAGCUCGUGUCGUGAGAUGUUGGGUUAAGUCCCGCAACGAGCGCAACCCUUGAUCUUAGUUGCCAGCAUUCAGUUGGGCACUCUAAGGUGACUGCCGGUGACAAACCGGAGGAAGGUGGGGAUGACGUCAAAUCAUCAUGCCCCUUAUGACCUGGGCUACACACGUGCUACAAUGGACAGAACAAAGGGCAGCGAAACCGCGAGGUUAAGCCAAUCCCACAAAUCUGUUCUCAGUUCGGAUCGCAGUCUGCAACUCGACUGCGUGAAGCUGGAAUCGCUAGUAAUCGCGGAUCAGCAUGCCGCGGUGAAUACGUUC
rnacentral:rRNA from 1 species